AACGUAGGUGGCGAGCGUUAUCCGGAUUCACUGGGCGUAAAGGGCGCGUAGGCGGUUCCGUAAGUCAGGCGUGAAAGCUCACGGCUCAACUGUGGACGUGCGUCUGAUACUGCGGUGACUUGAGGUCGGUAGAGGUAAGUGGAACUAGCGGUGUAGCGGUGAAAUGCGCAGAUAUCGCUAGGAACGCCGGUGGCGAAGGCGACUUGCUGGGCCGUACCUGACGCUGAUGCGCGAAAGCUAGGGGAGCGAACCGG
rnacentral:rRNA from 1 species